GCCUCGAUAGCUCGGUAGGUAGAGCAGCGGAUUGACUCUUUUAAAGAUCAGCGCGUGUCCCUGGUUCGAUUCCGGGUCGAGGCA
rnacentral:tRNA from 1 species